rnacentral:rRNA from 1 species
AUUGAACGCUGGCGGCAGGCCUAACACCUGCAAGUCGAACGAGCGGCGGAUGGGUGAGUAAUGUCUGGGAAACUGCCUGAUGGAGGGGGAUAACUACUGGAAAAGGUAGCUAAUACCGCAUACAAUCAGAUGUGCCCAGAUGGGAUUAGCUAGUAGGGGGGGUAAUGGCUCACCUAGGUGACGAUCCCUAGCUGGUCUGCGAGGAUGACCAGCCACACUGAAACUGAGACACGGUCCAGACUCCUACGGGGGGCAGGAGUGGGGAAUAUGGCACAAUGGGCGCAAGCCUGGUGCAGCCAUGCCGCGUGUGUGAAGAAGGCCUUCGGGUUGUAAAGCACUUUCAGCGAGGAGGCUUUACUCGCAGAAGAAGCACCGGCUAACUCCGUGCCAGCAGCCGCGGUAAUAC